rnacentral:rRNA from 1 species
AUUGAACGCUGGCGGCAGGCCUAACACAUGCAAGUCGAACGGUAACAGGAAACAGCUUGCUGUUUCGCUGACGAGUGGCGGACGGGUGAGUAAUGUCUGGGAAACUGCCUGAUGGAGGGGGAUAACUACUGGAAACGGUAGCUAAUACCGCAUAACGUCGCAAGACCAAAGAGGGGGACCCUCGGGCCUCUUGCCAUCGGAUGUGCCCAGAUGGGAUUAGCUUGUUGGUGGGGUAACGGCUCACCAAGGCGACGAUCCCUAGCUGGUCUGAGAGGAUGACCAGCCACACUGGAACUGAGACACGGUGCAGACUCCUACGGGAGGCAGCAGUGGGGAAUAUUGCACAAUGGGCGCAAGCCUGAUGCAGCCAUGCCGCGUGUAUGAAGAAGGCCUUCGGGUUGUAAAGUACUUUCAGCGGGGAGGAAGGGAGUAAAGUUAAUACCUUUGCUCAUUGACGUUACCCGCAGAAGAAGCACCGGCUAACUCCGUG